rnacentral:rRNA from 1 species
UACGAAGGGGGCUAGCGUUGCUCGGAAUUACUGGGCGUAAAGGGCGCGCAGGCGGCCAUUCAAGUCAGGCGUGAAAGCCCCGGGCUUAACCUGGGAGGUGCGCUUGGGACUGGGCGGCUAGAGAUCGGGAGAGGAGAGUGGAAUUCCCAGUGUAGAGGUGAAAUUCGUAGAUAUCAGGAGGAACACCUGCGGUGUAGACAGCAUGCUGGACCAUUUCUGACGCUGAGGCACGAAAGCGUGGGUAGCAAACAGG